UAUCCUUCAUUGUAUUGACAAUCUCUCUCUGUGACUCCAGCACAGCCGCCCCUCAGCAGUCGAGGCACGGGGCGCAGCUGACCGUGCGCCUUCGGAAGCCUUCGGGAGCCUUCGGGAGCGCACGGUCAGCUGCUUUGGAGACGUUGCGUUUGUUACUGGUUCCUGAUGAAAGACCAUCAAAUAAAAUAUGUUUUCUAGCUUC